rnacentral:rRNA from 1 species
AUGGUGGUGCUGCUGCUUUGGCUCCUCUGGCAGGACGUUGACCGGGUUGAUGGUGUGCCUCUGCGCUUCACCAACAGGGUUGACUUUGAUCAAGUUACCGGCCAAGUCUAUUUCACCGACAGCUCGAUGCAGUACAAGAGGUCGCAGCAUGAGAUGGUCACCAAGACAGGGGAUUCGACGGGCCGCCUCAUGAUGUACGACCCAUGGACGUCGGACGUCACCAUGCUCCAAGCCGGGAUGACAUACCCAAAUGGCGUCGCGCUCCCUUCGAUCAACACAUGCACAUCUGAACCUUUUGUUGGCUCACCGGGCUACCCGGAUAACGUGAGGCCCGACAGGAAAGGAGGUUAUUGGGUGGCGUUGCACCAUGAGAAGAAUGAGUUGCCUAUUGGUCGUGAUAGCCAUCUUCUCGUUGUGAGGAUCGGUGCUAACGGGAAGAUAGUCGAGGAGAUGGGGCCAAAGGGCGUGAGGCCGACCGAAAUAAUGGAGAGAGAGAAUGGGAAACUCUACUUAGGUUCGGUGGAGCUUCCUUAUGUCGGUGUAGUUAAACGCAAGUAG